UUGACCUCGAUAGGUG
rnacentral:rRNA from 1 species